UACGUAGGGUGCGAGCGUUAAUCGGAAUUACUGGGCGUAAAGCGUGCGCAGGCGGUUAUGCAAGACAGAUGUGAAAUCCCCGGGCUCAACCUGGGAACUGCAUUUGUGACUGCAUGGCUGGAGUGCGGCAGCGGGGGAUGGAAUUCCGCGUGUAGCAGUGAAAUGCGUAGAUAUGCGGAGGAACACCGAUGGCGAAGGCAAUCCCCUGGGCCUGCACUGACGCUCAUGCACGAAAGCGUGGGGAGCAAACAGG
rnacentral:rRNA from 1 species